GCCCCAGUAGCUCAAUGGAUAGAGCAACCGCCUCCUAAGCGGUAGGCUGAAGGUUCGACUCCUUCCUGGGGCA
rnacentral:tRNA from 1 species